UUGGGGCUUGCAAAUAAAUAUUACUCUCCCGCUAUACUUAAGCAUAUACUACUAAGUAUGUAUUCCGGAAAAAGAGCGUCCAAUGCAGUGGCACUGAUAAUAAGACGUUUUCCUCUCGCUGCAUUCAGCUCCACAGCUACAAGUAACCGGCGCCAAUUUGCUUCCCCGCUUUGCGUGACGAAAGUCGUUUGACUUUUGACGAAAGCCGUUGCUGCUGCUCCGACGACUCUGGUUGUGUUGGUGUGGCGGCGACUCUGUGGCCAAGCAGCUGGAAGUGAACGCCACCGGCAAGUUCUGCUUCAGUGCGAUUCUGAGUGUUAAAACGUUAACUUCAAGACGGUAAAGUGAGCGCCCGUGUGCUUUUGUGCUUUUUUUUUAUUAUUUACAAACAAAAAAUUUUUGCAUAUAAAACAAAUUGUUUUAACAUUUUUAGUGUUUUUUUUGUUUUUUUUUUCGUUGCCAACUACACAGCUGCCAUGCAUUUCAUGUGCUGUUGUUGUUGUUGUUGGCGUCAACGCCAUAUCAUAUGCAACGGCCUUUUUUGUGCAUGAGAGCUAUUUUGUUCGUUGUUCUGUGCGCGGGUUGGGAAAAAAGGCUUCGAAAACGUUGAAAAAAACACACUCAGAAAGGGAAGAGAAAAAUUAAGAAGUACAAAACAAGUGAGGAUUUGAAUAAAAAAAAAGUAGUGACGAAAUAAGAAAAAAAAAUCCCCACCUGAAAGGGAGUAAAAUUGCAUUUGCGUGUUGAAUUGAUGAAACCAACGUAAUUGGGGUGCUGAAUCAAAUUGUUGUUAGUGUCGCGUUAAAUUUUUCUUACAACAUGGCUAAAAGUUCUGUGUUGGAUCCUGCUUGAGACAAUCGGAAUCACUGAGCGAGAAGCAGCUAAAACAUAAAAGCUGUGUUGAGAUGA